rnacentral:rRNA from 1 species
UACGUAGGGUGCAAGCGUUGUCCGGAAUUAUUGGGCGUAAAGAGCUCGUAGGCGGUUUGUUGCGUCGGCUGUGAAAACCUGAGGCUCAACCUCAGGCCUGCAGUCGAUACGAGCAGACUAGAGUGUUGCAGGGGAGACUGGAAUUCCUGGUGUAGCGGUGAAAUGCGCAGAUAUCAGGAGGAACACCGGUGGCGAAGGCGGGUCUCUGGGCAACAACUGACGCUGAGGAGCGAAAACGUGGGGAGCGAACAGG